rnacentral:lncRNA from 1 species
CUACUACAUGCUUCUCCUGGACCCAUUCUACACCGCCAGGGCAAGCACGUACUCGCCUUAAAGUCUUCCUUCUGAACCUUGUUCCUUUACGUUUCUUUACACGUCAUUCCAACCUGUUACCGACUUUUGUGAUACAACCAGAACAUUUAAUGUCUCAUCUCUAUCUUGUCUUGCCCUUUGACUCUGUAUUUUUCACCAUUUUCUGAGCUAUAAACUUUACUUUGACUCUUCACAGCAAUUCUGCUUUUCUCCAAGUCCUACUGCAUUGGAUCACCUCUUCUAAAUGCUUUUAUUCUUUCAGUUUAGGGGUACGACCUGUCUGAUCCUGGCAUAACUCCCAGAGAUGGUACUUCCACCUUGCCCAGAGCAAGAGCUCCAUGGAGAAUGGCCAUAAAGAGUCACUCUGAAGCAGAUGAAAUCUCAGCAUGAGAGAGAGAUGAGUGUUCUAGUUGAAGUGAGGGCCAUGUUCCAGGAGACACAUCAGCUCUGCCCUUUCAGCUUCCACUAUACCUUUUCCAGGAGAACUUGGAUCAUUUCCACAUCAAGAAAUGCAGUUUGGAAACCCACUGGACCAGGAAAGCAAAGACACAGUCAUGAUGCAAAUACCCCAAGAGAUGUAAAAUGUCAACAAAAGGCACAAUAUAAGAAGGGAAUGAAUAAAGGCAGAGUCUGGACCCUAGUUCCCACUCUACUACUCUUUCUUUUUAGGAAACAUUUGCUGAUGCCUGGUCCCGGAGCUGCAUUUCUCAAGCUUUAAUAUCCAUAAUGGAAUUGGUGAAGAGUGUUUGCGAGGAGAUUUAGCAGGUGUACAAGCCACUCACAGAGUCAGAGGAGCUCACAAGCCCAGUUCAGCAGACAUCCCCUGCACUUCCCUGCAGCUUCGGGAGACAUGGCUAGAAGCCUGUCCCAACCAUCCCAGUCAGUGAAAAUGUCUUGAGAAGAGAGGAGCUAAACCCACGGUUUGGUUUUCUUACCCACUUUGCACUCUCAAAGAGGGUACCAAAUAUAGCAGCUCAAUAAAUAUGGUUUAAAA